GCUCCCCAUGAGAUGGCUCCCGAGUUGGGCCAGUCACUGAACAGACAUUCCUUCAGUGUGUUCUCCAUUUUUGUCCCUUCGGUUCUUUUUUUUUUUUUUUUAAAGAUUUAUUUAUUUAUUAUAUGUAAGUACACUGUAGCUGUCUUCAGACACACCAGAAGAGGGCGUCAGAUGUCAUUACAGGUGGUUGUGAGCCACCAUGUGGUUGCUGGGAAUUGAACUCCGGACCUCUGGAAGAGCAGCCCAUGCUCUUACCUGCUGAGCCAUCUCUCCAGUCCCCUGGAGUUCUUUUAGAUGGAAACAGUUCUGGGUCAGAAAUUUUGACUGUGGAUUGGUAACCCCGUCUUUCCACUUGGGGCACUGUCUGUCUAAUGGAGGUGGACUCUUCAAGUUCCCUCUCCCCACUGUUCGGCUUUUCGGCUACUGUCAUCCCAUUGAGUCCUGAGAGUCUCUCACCUCCCAGGUCUCUGGGAUUUUCUAGACGAUCCCCUCAUCUCCCACCCCCAGAAGCUGCAUAUUUCCACUUAUUCUCCUGCCCACCCCAUGCCUAAUCCUGUUCCCUCUUUUCCUUCCCUCUCCCCUUUCCCACCCAGAUCCUUCCCUCCCUCUGCCUCCCAUGGUACUUUGGUUUCCCCCUCUAAGUGGGAUUGAAACAUCCUCACUUGGGCCUUCCAGCUUGUUAAACUUCUUAUAGUCUAUGGGUUGUAUCCUGGGUUAUCUGGAGACUUCAACAACUUAGGGAUUCUUUCUAAGAAAGUUCAUUAUCGGUGUAGAAAUGAACUCCUAUUGGCAGGGUUUGGUAGUUUAUUUCUUCAAUCCCAGCCCUCAGGAGGCAGAGGCAGUGGAUCUUUCAGAGUUUAAGCUAGCCUGGUCUACAUGGUGAGUCCCAGGCCAGCCAGGACUGCAUAGCGAGACCCUGUUUUAAAAAAGAAAAGCUACC
rnacentral:lncRNA from 1 species